rnacentral:rRNA from 1 species
GAUGAACGCUGGCGGCGUGCUUAACACAUGCAAGUCGAACGGGAAAUAUUUCAUUGAGACUUCGGUGGAUUUGAACUAUUUCUAGUGGCGGACGGGUGAGUAACGCGUGGGUAACCUGCCUUAUACAGGGGGAUAACAGUCAGAAAUGGCUGCUAAUACCGCAUAAGCGCACAGAGCUGCAUGGCUCAGUGUGAAAAACUCCGGUGGUAUAAGAUGGACCCGCGUUGGAUUAGCUUGUUGGUGGGGUAACGGCCCACCAAAGCGACGAUCAGUAGCCGACCUGAGAGGGUGACCGGCCACAUUGGGACUGAGACACGGCCCAGACUCCUACGGGAGCAGCAGUGGGGAAUAUUGCACAAUGGGGGAAACCCUGAUGCAGCGACGCCGCGUGGAGGAAGAAGGUCUUCGGAUUGUAAACUCCUGUUGUUGAGGAAGAUAAUGACGGUACUCAACAAGGAAGUGACGGCUAACUACGUGCCAGCAGCCG